GCUUCAUGUUACAUCUCACAACUAGAGUAAAAGAGGAAAUAUAUCCAUGCACCUGUGGUUUGCUAGAAUCCAUCUCAUUGAUGCAUUUUCUGAGUAGAGAAUAGGCUUUGGAGAACACUUAGGAAUUCUACAAAUAUGUAUGUUACUGUGGCAAGACCUGUUAUCCUGGUCCUUCGCCUCUACGCAGUUUAUCUUAACUUCAAUGGAGCAGUAGACUACACCAAGUAACAGUCGUAGAAUGACAAUCCAAGCAUGUCUCUUAGGGCAUACAGCAGCAGACAACACAAUGCAAUGUCAGUGACGGUCAUCAGAAAUUAUGUUAGAUCAGCUUUAACAAUUCUGAUGUGUCCAGAAUAUGGGGCAUUCUUUUUCAAAAGUGCCCCAAAUUCUUAAGAUGGAUAUUUGUUUAAGAACUACACGCAUCUUUCUAAUGCACAUUGCAGCACUCCACCUGCCUCUGUGGAGAGCCUCCUCUUGGUAGAACCCUAACCUCUGAUAAGGUGAUGGGUGACAUAUUGUCAAGAGUGCAUGAGUUGGCUAUAGAGGCACACAAUUCUUUUAAAG